AUGUAUCGCCCCAUGGAAGAGGAAACAAACAGUUUUUAUCCUUCCUUCCCACUCUCCUCAUCAGUUUUUCAAGUGAGAAAAUGGCCAUUUCAGUUCAAAGAGUCUGACAUCAGAGAGGGUUGUGCUGGAGCCAACAAGACUGGUGACUGUUAUACCACGGAAGUGACCACACAUGUGGCAGGCCGUAGAGUUUGGCAUGAUAGUCUGAUGGUACAAAGUCUGCUAAAAAUAUGUCUGUAAACAGGGAAUAAUGGAAAAAUCAGCACAACAGAGGAUCAAGAUUCCUAUGUCUGAACUGGUUCCUGCCAUUCUUAAUACAGCAGCAUAGGCAAACCCCGAUGGACUUUAUCUGGACAUGGCUUUGUCUGUUUUAAUGAAGAAACACAAAUUUUAGCUUUUGUUUUCCCAGCAGAGAAGACAUCAAUAGAAAGAAUUCAAGAGACUUCUGCAGCCUGAAUGUCUGUGCCUUUAUUAAUAAUUUCUCAAAGAAAAUAGUGAAAAGAUAUAAUUUUGUGACUGCACCCAGGAGUUUAAGGCUCUAUCAAAUCAAGCUUGCCAUCACCUUUUUUCAGUUGUACUGUGGGCAUCUGUAUAGUUAAGCUUUCACCCCAAAAAGUUUCCUCUGAUUUACAUCAAUGCAAGUAGAGAAUGAAAGCUUUUGCACUUAGUUUUAGAACACUUCAUUGGAAGAUGCAAUUCACGCGUAUCUGAGUAUUUCAUCAUUACUCAGAUGCUCUGUCAGCAUCACCUUUUAAAUCUAGGUACUUUUAGUAUUCUUAGUGUAGCACAGGCAUGAGAAAAUACUGUAGCUGUGAAAGUCCAGAUUGUGCAAUCUACUAGCCUAGAAGGCACUGUCACUUUUAUGUGCCCUAUAUUUUAUUCAUCCAUAGCUCAAAUAAAUGCAGAUUUAAAAAAAAAAAUAAAUUUAUC
rnacentral:lncRNA from 1 species